GAUGAACGCUAGCGGCAGGCCUAAUACAUGCAAGUCGGACGGGAUCCAUUGAUAGCUUGCUAUCAAUGGUGAGAGUGGCGCACGGGUGCGUAACGCGUGAGCAACCUGCCUCCAUCAGGGGGAUAGCCUCUCGAAAGAGAGAUUAACACCGCAUAAUAUCAACAGUUCGCAUGUUCAGUUGAUUAAAUAUUUAUAGGAUGGAGAUGGGCUCGCGUGACAUUAGCUAGUUGGUAGGGUAACGGCUUACCAAGGCGACGAUGUCUAGGGGCUCUGAGAGGAGAAUCCCCCACACUGGUACUGAGACACGGACCAGACUCCUACGGGAGGCAGCAGUAAGGAAUAUUGGUCAAUGGGCGGAAGCCUGAACCAGCCAUGCCGCGUGCAGGAUGACUGCCCUAUGGGUUGUAAACUGCUUUUGUCCAGGAAUAAGCCUAAAUACGAGUAUUUAGCUGAAUGUACUGGAAGAAUAAGGAUCGGCUAACUCCGUG
rnacentral:rRNA from 1 species